GGAUGUCAGAUGAGACCGCAUACAAGACCAGCRGACUGCUCAGUGCCAAACUAAAGGAGUCCUCUUACUAACCAAUUGGAUAGAAGAUUAAUUUAUCCRUUCAACACCACUUCCUAACCAUUUAACCUGAACUCCUGGAGUACCUGACAUCCAGCAUCCCAUUCCUGUUACGUGUAUAUUAUCYACCCCUUCUCAUCCGACUGGGAGGCCUUUCAGAAAAAUGGGACCUCAGUUUGCCACUGCCCUGUGAAUGCUCACUGCACUUCUUGAGCCUCAGAGAGGAGGAUAGAGAGAGCACCCUAUCUCCACUGAUUACAUUCUUCUCAUCGAAUUCAGCCAAAAUGGCUUAAGCACCGAACAUGCGUGUUAGCAGAGGAGCUCAGAGAAGGAGGGAUCGAGGAUUAUUUAAGGAUCAUUGUUGAAGCUGGAUGAGGAUCCAUGGAAGUUUAUCAGAUAAUUUGGUCUACUUCUAUAAAUACUGGAAAAUGCCCCGACUAAGAAGAAUAUGAAGAAAUAGAAGGAAACUGAGCAGGCUUCACAUAGCAAGUAGCAGCUGCGCAAAACCAAAGCCCGGGUUUUCAAUAAUGGUCCAGGAUUAAAAGCUGCAAGCCAAUUCCCAUGGCCCCUGGUUGCAGAAGCUAUGCAGGGCAAGGUCAGGCAGAGGAGCAACUUAGUGCCUGGGCUUGGGCCCUGGCCCCACACCUCCAUCAAAUUCUUAUUUAAUGGGACCACAAGAACACAUUGACCUCCUCUUGCCUGGGCAAUAGGCUGAAAGCAGAACCAAUCCUUCUUGAUUCCCCCUAUUCUAGGCCUUCCCAGGGAUGCUCAUCUUCCAAUACAGCCUGCUCCUAAGCAUCAGGGUAAGAAACCCCAGGAGAAGGAGGAAAAGGAUGACAUCAAAGCUAUCAUCUCUGCAAAACCUCACUCCUCAAUUCAGGGGACUGAGGGAGUGUGGGUGUGGGCAUGCACAUGGACAUGAAGGAAGAGAAAAGAAAAAGAGCCAACCUGCCUUCCCUCCGGAAUCCUGGCAUCGCCUCCCUUCUUAUUCCUUCUCUUAUUAAUCCUAUAGGCUUAACGGGAAAGCUCAUAUCUAAUUCAUGCCCCUUCUGCCUCCACUUUGCCUCCUUCACAUCUUGGAGGGUUUUUGAAAAUUCCUUUGUGUAGCUUCAGCAAACUUUGACACUACCACCAAUGAGAAGGCCGUUCAGUCCCUCCAGGUCUUUGAUGAAUGUCUCUUUGCUUUGCCUGCAGAAGUCACUAAAAUAGAUAAGAACAGCACAGUACUCCAGGUCGACAGUGGACACUAGGUGGAGAAGUCCCUCACCUCAUUUAUCAGAGCAAAUGAGCAAAGAAGAGAGAUACUGUCAUCCAGAGCCUAUUAACAACUCCGAUGAGCCACAGGUAUCCGGACCCAAGUGGAGGAGUAAAAGUCACUCAAACAGCUCUUGCACUUCUUUCUCUCCUCGGGGCCUUUCUCCAUCGCUGCCUCCUUGGGAGCACUUGCCCAGAUCUGUCGUCACCAUCCUCAUUUGAGUCUCUUCGGAACUACUAUUUAAAUCAAAACUUCUCAUUUUGAGGUCAUUUUCAUAGAUUUAUAUGUGGUUGCAAGAAAUAAUACAAAGAGAUCCCUUGUAGCCUUUACCAAAUUUCUCCCGAUGUUAACAUCUUACAAAACUGUAAAYAAUAUAUUGUCAAUAAUGUAAUCAGGAUGAGAAGAUCUCCAUCACCAGGAGCCUCCAGUGGGACCCCCUUGUGGCCACAACCACUUAUCUCCUGUCCCUUACCCUCCUUUAUCCUGGCAACCACUAUUCUGCACUUCCUAUAAUUUUAACGAUUCAAAAAUAUAAGUGGAAUUAUAUCAGAAAAAAAUUGGGGAAUUGGCUUUUUCCCAUCAGGAUAAAGUUUCAUCUAGGAUAUGUAUCAAUAGGUGGUUCCUUUUUAUUGCUGAGUACUAUUUCAUGAAUGAAAGUACCACAGUUUAUUCACCCCUUGAAGACACCUGAGUUGUUUUCAGUUUUGGGCUACUGUGAAUUUCCUGACACCAUAUGAGGCUGCUAUGAACAUUCAUGUUCUCUGGAAUAAAUGCUCAGGGGUACAUGCUUGCAUGUAAGAACCCUGGAGCCUCAGUGAACUGCACUUGUUCCUUUCUAAAAUGCUCUGGAAACUCUCUGGGCUUUCCUGCUACCUCAUUUUGCUUUUGUCAUUUUUAUACCUGGAAUAUCCCAUAAUUUCAUUUUUUUUUUCUUUCCAUCCAAGAACCACUCAAAUACUGCAACCUAUCUUUUCUACUUCUCCUUGAACUCUCCUGACCUCUAUUAUCUGUAGCACUUCUGUGGUAUGGGCUGCAUACUGUGUGUGUGUAGAAGUUAUUUAUUAACAGAAAUUUAGCUACACAACUAGGGUAUGAGCUCCUUGAUGAAUAAAGCCCAGGAUGAUUCUUCUCGGCCUCCUCAAUAGACCCUGGUGCAGGAAAUGAUACACAAUAUGUGCAUAAAAAAAAAACAUGUAAAGAAUUAAUUCACAUGAUUCCUACAUGAUAGUCCAUCCAAAAAAGUCUCUUUGACUUCCCAUCUUUAGGUAUUUCAGGAGCCAUUUUUCAGGACUUUCCAUUUGAAGUCAAAUUCUGCGAGUGGAAUUUGACUUAGCAUCUAAAGAGAUCUGGAUCCUUGAGUAGUUGAAGGGAAACACUACUCUCAGCACUAAGCCAGAUCUCAAGGGAAAGUCUUUCUUUGGCUUUCAAAGUCAUGAAGAUUGUCUCAGAAAACUACGGAUUAAUUAUGCAGAGAUGGGACACAGCCAGAGAAACAAAAAUCCACUGAUUUACAGAAAUAACACCUUUUCUCACCAUCUAAAUUAGUAGUUCAGAGUCUCCUAAAUGGAGAUAUAUUAAGGAAGCAGAAUGCAAAUGUGAUCUCUAUCUAUUCUCAGCUCAGCAGGCAUCGGUAUCUAACAACAUCAUUAAGGUUGUCUUUGCAUAGACAGGUCCAGGCAGGGAAUGGCUACUCUCCAGGGACUCUUUCCACCAUCAUAGAACAGGAAAAAGUAAAGUGGCAAGCAAAGGGAGCAGAGGUGAAGACAAGAAAUAGUGAGGAGGAAGGGGCAGGCUUUCCAUUCUGACCGUCAAGAGCCACUUCCUGGUGAUUCCAAUGUCCUCUCUUUAGCUGAUUCUCUUUUCUUCCUACCAUUACUGCUUCUGUAUUCUUUUAUAUGGUUUUCCAGCCUGCUUGCUUCCCUGAAUCAACUCACCUUAAACACACACACCAAAGUGA